AACGGUUCAGGGGCAGAGCAACCGCCAAACUCCCGCCGUUUAAAUUAUGGAGAGGGCCCCGUCCUCGAGCGUCCUUCUCCCCUCACAAAGUUGCUGUAUUUGAAAUUGUGAAAUGGAAGUAGUUGGAUUGAACUGCCUCAACUUGAUUGCUGCAGUUUCUAUUAAGAAACUAAACUGUGAAGAUAAGACAAGUAGGUGGAAAUUAAGCAAGUGUGGUCUUGCAACUUGAAAGACAUGGGCAUUUCUGUGCUGUAAACUUGAAGAGGAUGGCCUUUUUCCACCUGAAAGUAAGGUGGAGUAACAUUGCUGAAAGGUAUCCCUCUUAAUAGAGAUAUGAAGAAUGGACUGGUCCAGGUCUUAGUGCAAAGUUGAGGGAUAUCCAGUCCAUGCGAGAUGAUCUCUGGAAACUUCAUUACCAGCUAUCAAGACUGUUCAGAAGUAAAUCACCUGGCACUUUUUAUCUUCAGGUCUGUCAGAGCUGAAGAUUGCAGUGAUUACUACACAAUUAACAGGUUGGAGGGCACUGUUACAAAGGGAAAAGCUCCUGAAAAUUUAGUUUGACUUGGACCCACCUUGGCAAUUUUGUUUUUUUCAGGC